AUUGAACGCUGGCGGCAUGCCUUACACAUGCAAGUCGGACGGCAGCAUGGGCUUCGGCCUGAUGGCGAGUGGCGAACGGGUGAGUAAAGCAUCGGAACGUACCUUCUGAUGGGGGAUAACGAGGCGAAAGUCUCGCUAAUACCGCAUAGAUUCUGAGGAAUAAAGCAGGGGCUCGCAAGACCUUGCGCCAGGGGAUCGGCCGCUGUCGGAUUAGCUAGUUGGUGGGGUAAAGGCCUACCAAGGCGACGAUCCGUAGCGGGUCUGUGAGGAUGGGUCGCCACACUGGGACUGAGACACGGCCCAGACUCCUACGGGAGGCAGCAGUGGGGAAUUUUGGACAAUGGGCGGAAGCCUGAUCCAGCCAUGCCGCGUGAGUGAAGGAGGCCUUCGGGUUGUAAAGCUCUUUCGGUGGGGAAGAAAUCGCACGGGCUAAUACCUCGUGUGGAUGACGGUACCCGCAUAAGAAGCACCGGCUAACUACGUGCCAGCAGCCGCAGUAA
rnacentral:rRNA from 1 species